UUCGAUUCUGACUCAGAUUAGACGCUGGCGGGAUGCUUUACACAUGCCAAGUCGAACGGCAGCACGGACUUCGGUCUGGUGGCGAUGGCCGGUGGAGGUGGGUAAUGUAUGAACGUGCUGGUAGCGGGGGAUAACUACGCGAAAGCGUAGCUAAUACCGCAUACGCCCUUCGGGGAAAAGCAGGGGGACCUUCGGGCCUCGCACUAUUAGAAACGACUGCCGAUAUCGGAUUAGCUGGUUUGGUGGGGGUAACGACUCUUCCACAAAGGCGUUGAUCCGUAGCUGGUUUGAGGACGACCAGCCACACUGGGACAGAGACGGCCCAGACUCCUACAGGAGAGGCAGCAGUGGAAAUUUUGGACAAUGGAAACCCUGAUUGACCAUCCCGCGUGUGCGAUGAAGGCCUUGGGGUUAUGCAAGCACUUUUGGCAGGAAAGAAACGGCACGGGAUAAUACCCCGUACAACUGACAGUACCUGCAGAACAAAAAGCACCGGCUAACUACGUGCCAGCAGCCGCGCGGUAAUACGUAAGUGCAAGCGUUAACAAUCGAAUUACUGGGCGUAAAGCGUGCGCAGGCGGUUCGGAAGAAAGAUGUGAAAUCCCAGAGCUUAACUUUGGAGACUGCAUUUUUAGCUACCGAGCUAAAGUGUGUCAGAGGGAGGUGGGGCCACGCGUGUAGCAGUGAAAUGCGUAGAUAUGGAGGAACACCGAUGGCGACAGCCUCCUGGGAUAACACCGGCGUAUCUAUGCACGAAAGCGUGAGGCAAACAGGAUUAGAUACCCUGGUGAUCUACCGCCCUAACAUUAUCAACUAGCUGUUGGGGCCUUCGGGCCUUGGUAGCGCAGCUAACGCGUGAAGUUGACCGCCUGGGGAGUACAGGUCGCAGAUUAAAACUCAAAGGAAUUGACGGGGACCGCACAAGCGGUGGAUGAUGUGGAUUAAUUCGUGCAACGCGAAAAACCUUACCUACAUGACAUGUCUGGAAUCCCGAAGAGAUUUGGGAGUGCUCGCAAGAGAACCGGAACACAGGUGCUGCAUGGCUGUCGUCAGCUCGUGUCGUGAGAUGUUGGGUUAAGUCCACGCAACGAGCGCAACCCUUGUCAUUAGUUGCUACGAAAGGGCACUCUAAUGGAGUUGCCGGUGACAAGCCGGAGGAAGGUGGGGAUGACGUCAAGUCUCGGCCCUUAUAGGUGGGGCUUCACGUCAUACAAUGGUCGGGACAAGAGGGUCGCCAACCCGCGAGAGGCCAAUCCCAGAAACCCGAUCGUAGUCGGAUCGCAGUCUGCAACUCGACUGCGUGAAGUCGAAUGUGGUAAUCGCGGAUGUAUGUCGCGGUGAAUACGUUCGGGUCUUGUACACACCGCCCGUCGCACCAUGGGGUGGGUUUCACGAAGUAGUUAGCCUAACCGUAAGGAGGCGAUUACCACGGUAGGAUUCAUGACUGGGGUGAAGUCGUAACAAGGUAGCUCUCUUUCACCUGUGAUACUUUCCCAG
rnacentral:rRNA from 1 species